UGGGGAAUAUUGCACAAUGGGCGCAAGCCUGACGCAGCCAUGCCGCGUGUGUGAAGAAGGCCUUCGGGUUGUAAAGCACUUUCAGCGGGGAGGAAGGCGAUAAGGUUAAUAACCUUGUCGAUUGACGUUACCCGCAGAAGAAGCACCGGCUAACUCCGUGCCAGCAGCCGCGGUAAUACGUAGGUGGCAAGCGUUGUCCGGAUUUAUUGGGCGUAAAGCGAGCGCAGGCGGUUUCUUAAGUCUGAUGUGAAAGCCCCCGGCUCAACCGGGGAGGGUCAUUGGAAACUGGGAGACUUGAGUGCAGAAGAGGAGAGUGGAAUUCCAUGUGUAGCGGUGAAAUGCGUAGAUAUAUGGAGGAACACCAGUGGCGAAGGCGGCUCUCUGGUCUGUAACUGACGCUGAGGCUCGAAAGCGUGGGGAGCAAACAGG
rnacentral:rRNA from 1 species